GGGCUGCCGCCGCUCCUCAAGCUCGACUCUCGUCCCGCUGCCCCUCCUCUGGCCCGCUCGCCCGCCCGCCACGGGCUUCAGAGCGGCGUUGCCGGACCUUUUCUUUCCCGAAGGGCGGGCAAGAGGAGCCUGUGGGGAGGCCUGAGGGGAUUUUCAUGCCCGCAGACCCCCCGUGAACACCCAUCAGGGGCUUCCUUACCUGGUCGGCUCCACCCGCGGCCAUCUUGGAAGUGGGAAGCGCCCGGGAGGGGGAAGGGGCACGAGCGGGCAGCGACAAGGCGUGGGGAGCCGAGCAGCGGAGCGCAUCGAUGGGCGCCCCUGCCCCCGAGCAGGUGCGCAGGGGAGGAAGAGCCCGGACCCCACCUGGCCGCCUGCGAGAGACCAGUCACCAGGUCCCCAGCGGGUAGCCAGGGCCCACACGGAGGAGGGGGAAGAGCGUAGCCUGCCUGAGCCCUGCGCAGUGUGUGUCUACCCUCUUCGUCCUCGCAGUCGCCCAUGUCGCCGAGAAGAACUGAGGCUCAUGCGGGGGAACGUUACAUGCCCACGGCCCCAUAGCUGCGAAGGACACCAGCAGGAUUGGCAACCAGGCCGUCUGGCUCCAGUGCCAGGAACGUCUGGGUGCCUUGACAGUACAGCUUCCAAAGGCCGGGAGGAAGCCAUCUAUGACGUUAAGCCACCCCUCGAGGGACGCGGGCAGGCGGAGGCAAACGAGAGUCCAGCGGCAAGAAGAGGUCUGCGCAGACCCGUGGAGCCCGCAAGCGCUGCUCCCCUGGCGCCCAGGUGGCUGAGGGGCGGCCCAGGGAGGGUCUGGACCCUGAUUUUACACUCCAUUCGCAAGCAGCAGGGCUUCGGUUUUAGAGUGCUGAUGGGGAACCGUCCCCGGGCCAGACAGAGCGAGGCUGAGCGAGCUGUGCAUUUGCCUCUGGGAGGGGGCGUGCCCUGCGUGCGGGGGCUGAGAACCCGCCGGCUCCCUCCCUAGACGGUGCAGAACCAGCGGAGCUCCUGUCUCUGAGACAGUGGGGGACGGAGGCCCAGACGUCGCCUGCCACGCCUCCUUCGGAGCCAGCCGGACUCUUCAGAGUUAGGCUCUACUGCUGACUGCUGCUUACUGUGUCCACUUCUAACUUAUUUGUUUUUUAAUCUUGAGAUUCUUUUUUUUUUUUUUGCGGUACGCGGGCCUCUCACUGUUACGGCCUCUCCCAUUGUGGAGCACAGGCUCCGGACGCGCAGGCUCAGCGGCCAUGGCUCACGAGCCCAGCCGCUCCGCGGCACGUGGGAUCCUCCCAGACCGGGCACGAACCCGUGUCCCCUGCAUCGGCAGGCGGACUCUCAACCACUGCGCCACCAGGGAAGCCCGAGAGCCAUUUUUAUUGUGGAAAAUUUCAAACAUAUACACAGUGAACCGUAGAGUGAUCCCCUAGGUACCCAUCUCAACACUGGUUAUAUUCUGCUCUUCCUGUCACCACCCCAUAUUCUUGUUAUUUUUAUUUUUCCUGGAUUCACUUAGAGUGUAUCUCAGAUAUAUCAGAACCCAUGAAAAUACUUCAGCUUGUUCCAUGCACAUCUUUAGUAGUAAGGUUUUUAUUUUUUGAGGCAUCAUAACCAUAAUAUCGUCAGAUACCUAAAAUUAACAAUAAUUCCUCAAUGUUUUAUAAUUCCCCAAUUAUCUCUAAAAAUGUCUUCUUAUAGUUUGUUCAAAUCAGGUUCUGGGAAAUUCCCUGGCAGUCCAAUGGUUAGAACUCUGCGCUUCCACUGCAGGGGGCACGGGUUCGAUCCCUGGUCGGGGAAUUAAGGUUCUAAAUCAGGUUCCAAAAGCAACACACUGCACUUGGUAGAUGGGUCAUUACGUCUCUUUUAGUCUGAAAUAGUUCUCCCUUGGUUUGUUUUUCCUACGUGAUAUAUUUGAUGACAUUGUGUUAUUUGUCUUGUAGAAUUUUCUGAAUUAUGGAUUUAGAGGACUGU
ensembl:lncRNA